rnacentral:lncRNA from 1 species
GCUUUCUAGGGAAUAAAAAGGGUUAUGGCCACCAUUUAGGGGACAGAGAAAGCACAGGCUUCACGAGUGUGAUUAAAUCCCGCCGAAAAGUGUCCAGAAAUCAGCUAAGAUAGGACUCAAAAUGGGCAAUUCCCCCCUUUUACUGUGUUUUGUAUUAAGUACAGGCUUUAAUAAUUUCUUCAAAUUUUUUUUGUAUUUACAGGAAAAUUUAUAGAUUAUUUAUAAAAGAAACAUAACCAGGAUUACAACUCUUAGAAUUAUUUUCUUGUGCACAUUAAGAGGCCCAUAAGUUCACCAGCCCUUUGCAGCCUUUAUUUCAUCACAGUCUAUGGGCUUGAGAAAGACCUCUUUUGUAGUUCCAUAUGCUUAUUCACUUUCUCACCUCAUCGUAUGUCAUACUGAUCCCACCGUAGGUCCUGUCACUUCAACGGUGCAUAAACAAAAUAUGCAACUAUCUUAAAAAUAAAAAGUAGUUUUGAGCCUAGUAGGGAAGUAAACGAGCAUUCUUACUCUGGUUUAUUUUGAAGUGUUCUAACUGUGAUGCCAGAAACUUUGAUUAGAUCAGCUAGGAUGGAGAGCAAAACGGAGAAUGGAAAGAAUUGACUUUGGAGCUUGGAAUCUGCCGUGGUGAAGUCUUCUCUUGCCCUCUGAUGGCUGCUGAGAUAAUGUUGGAUAGCAGGGUUCUGAAACCUUUGGCUGUAUUUUGCCCUGCUUUUCCCAGGAUUAAGGAUUCUGGGAGAACAUUAAGAAUGAGAUUGCAAUUGAAAAGGUCCUCACUUCACAGCAAGAAACACUGCGAUACAAGGGAGAAAGAGACGGCAGUGCCCAUUAAAUCAAUACAACAAAAUCGAUGCAGCACCGACCGACGCCGCCAGGUCCGACGUCGUGGGUGUACGAACCGUGCAGUUGCCCAGGGCCGUGGGCCUUGCAAAUUAUGUAGCCAGUCCUCAGAACUCCGAAACAUGGUACCUCUCUUCCUGGUGGAUAUAAAUGAAGAAACUUGGAUCCAAUGUUGACAGUGGCUGGCCAUAUAAUUCAAGUAGGAAUCUAAAUGGAUUAAGAUGAGAGUGGGCCUAGGUGAAGAUUUUCUUCCCAGCUUUAAAAGAAAAUGACUUCAAAAACUGCAAAUGAUGAUGGUUUCUGCUGGAAAAGAGGAAAAGGCCCGAUGACAAGCAGGCUUUUUUAUUAUGGUACUGAUAUAUUGACCUUAAACUUCCUGAAGAAUUGAACCAGCGCCCUCCAUUGAAUGUGGAAUCUGCUUCAGCUCCAGGCACAUAUGCUAUGCCUGCAGAGAGACACGCAUAUUGCUCGCGUCUAUGUGCUUUGGUGUUGGGAAGUUGACGAUCUGGUCUACCCUUAUAAAAUGUUUAAAAGGAUACAAAGACGAUGGGGGCGGGAGGAUGUGUUUUAAAUGGUGCUUCUCAACAAGGGGGCAAUUUGGCAAUGUCUGGAGUCAUUUUUGGUUGUCCCAACUUGGGGGAGGGCGCCACUGGCAUCUGGUGGGUAGAGACCAGGGAUGCUGCUAAACAUCCUACAAUGCAUGGCACAGCCGCCCCCGCUCCCCAGGACAAAGAAUGAUGCAGCCCAAAAUAUCAAUAGUACUGUAGUUGAGAAACUCUUGGUUUGGGGGGAACUUUUUAAAGCAAAACUCUCACAAAUAUCUUUUACUUUUCCUGUAAUUGACUCAAUGCCUAAUAUACCCAAAAACUAAAAAUAAAAAAAGGAAAGGGACACCGAUUCA